AGGCUUUUAAUUUAGUAAUUUUAAUUUAUUUUAGAAUGUUAAGAUUUUAUAUAUACAUAUAUUUUUGGUUUGCUGAUUCUUGUUUUGGUUUAUGUGCAGAUGAACUAUCAUAAUGAUUCCUUCCUUGCAGAUCGACUAUGAUUUGGUCACUCUUCAUUUUCUUCAGAUUUUUAUUGUGAACUAAAUAUUUGUCUCAUCUAUAAAUCUUAUGGUAUAUUAAUUAUCUUCACAUUUCAUAUUUAUUUUCUCGGUUAGAUCUAAUCGUGAUCAAUUUAAUGUCACAAAUUUAUUUCACUGGAAUAGCUACGAAAAAUAGUCGAUCAAAAAAUCAAAAACUAUUUGACAUGAAUUUUUUCAAACACUAGAUUGUAUUGGUAAGUCUUCCUAACUUCUAUUUUAAGUUUUAAUAGUAGUAUUGAUGUAAACACCAAAUAAACCAUAACUGGUGUUGCUAUUUUCGUCUUUUAUUUUGUAUUUCUCAUUUCUUUCAAUCAUGUUAUUUAACAUGUAAUCUUUUGUAAUGUAAAAUAUGAUAAAUAUUUGUAAGUUUAAACGUAGAGAAUAUAUGAUAAGUAUUCACGUCGACAUUGUUAUGAAUAGAAUGAUAUAAUGGUUUGUUAAUUUAACUUAUUGUACUUACAUAAAAAUGAAAGUUCAAUUUUCUAUAUAUAUAUAUAUAACAUGAACUUAAAAAUAUUCAACACAUUUAUAUAAGACUUACAAAGGAAGAAAUUCAAAACGCCAAUCAAAAUUUAGUUUUGUCAGUUAAAGUUUUAAUAGUUUUUUAAAUCAACUUCUUAUUAAGAUUUAUCCUCUGUAGAAAUAGCCUCAGCGGAACGCCUCACACCACUUCACAACGUCAGACAUAAAGGUAACCAAAAUAUAUAAUUCAGAUUUCAGAACAACAAAUAACUUUUUAUAAAUUUGGAGAAACCAAAACGAAUGAUGAACUAAUAAAUAUGAAUAAAAUGUUUUGUCAGUUAAAGUUUUAAUAGUUUUUGAAAUCAACUUCUUAUUAAGAUUUAUCUUAUGUAGAAGUAGCCUCAGCGGAACGUCUCGCACCGCUUGACAACGUCAGAAGCAGACAUGUACGAAGGUAACCAAAAUAUAUAAUUCAGAUUUCAGAACAACAAAUAACUUUUAGAAAUUUGGAGAAACCAAAACGAACGAUGAACUAAUAAAUAUGUUUUGUCAGUUAAAGUUUUAAUAGCUUUUGAAAUCAACUUCUUAUUAAGAUUUAUCCUCUGUAGAAAUAGCCUCAGCGGAACGCCUCACACCGUUUGGCAAGGUCAGAUGCAGACAUGUACAAAGGUAACCAAAAUCUAUAAUUCGGAUUUCAGAAUGACAAAUAACUUUUAGAAAUUUGGAGAAACCAAAAUAAAUGAUGAAAAAUUGUUAGAGGGCCUGGUUUAUUAUUUGAUGCGUCUUAGUGGGCUAAGACCAGCUCCAUUGGGGGGCUCUUCGCACAAGUUUUUAACAAAAAGGAAAAAAAAAAUGAAAAAGGCCCAAAAAGCAAAGAAAGAACCGCUGCUUAAAGUGGGCUUUCUAGAGCUUGUAAGAAACCUUUAUGUGGCAGUUUGUUAUUGGACCGUGCAUUAAUUCCUCUUUCUCUCCUUCGUCGAAGGUCUGGCGAAAUCUAUUCUUCUUCAGUCAUCGAUCUCUCCAUCUUCUCUCUAGUCCGUUGAUGAAUCUUCUGAAGAACAUCCAUACAAAAAACGCAGGGCUUCUCUCUUUCCUCCGUUAGACCCGCUCUCUCUCCAACUUUCUUCUUCGUCUCCCACAUCGCAGCGAUCGAUCCGCGGAGGAUGAGCCUCUGUCUACUUCUGUUGCAGCGAAGGAGGAGAUCGAUGACUGAAGACCAAUCGUUUUAGUCACGAACGGAGAUGGGAUUGAUUCGAUUGGGCUCGUUCUAUGACUCCUGGAGAAACCAUUGCUUUGUGUUCCGCCAGUAUCAAAGGUGCCACAGCCUUUGAAGUUUCAGGUAUGCUGAUUUUGAUUGAAUGAUAGUUUCACAACAUCUCUAAGAUAGAAAAGUUAACGUUUCAAUCUGAAAAUUUGAGUCUUUAUUGAAACAACGAUCCUCUGAUUCUCAAGUUGUUAGAAAAGUGUCUAUUGAGUUCAUAGGCUUUGAUACUAUUCUUUUGUCUCAGGGACUCCUGUGGACUGCAUUUCGUAAGGAUUAUCCGGAGCCCUUCUCGCUUGGUCAAAGCCAAUACUGGUAAUUAGUGGAAUCAAUCAGUGAUCAAGCUGUGGGCUGGAGCCAGGGAACACACUCUCUGUCAGAACCGUAUUCACCAUCAUCAAAGCAUCAUUUGGGAAGAGGUGAAGAAACAACUGAAGGCGAAGAAAUGGUUUCUUGGUUCAGUAGCUGGGCCUCCAAGCAUUGCCCUGAUGCAAAGCAUAUGAAUGUUGGCAGUGACACACAAUUAAGACAGCUGUUUUUCGGUGGCAUUACUAACAGGUGAAGCGAAUACAUGUGACAGAAGAAGCCAAGACAUGACAUUGGUAUGUUUCGCUCACUCAUAAGCUUGUGUAUUUUGCAAUGUUUUAAAAACCGGACCGGAUACCGACUCGGCGUACUCACUGGUUCACUGGUCUGACCGGUUCAACCGGUCGAGCCGGGUUUUUUAUUUAUUAUAUAUAUAUAUAUAAUCAUAUAUAUAAAUCAUCUAAUGAAUAAUAUCUAUAAAUAGUAUCAAAAAUAGAAAUAGAACAAUUGAAUCUUGAAUACAUAAUGAACUAAAUGAAUACAUGACAAAUUAAAUUUAAAAAAAUCUGUUGAAGAAUGAUAAAAUAUCUCAAACUUAUUCAGUGGUAUCAUUUCAUCUUAAUGCCUCCACCUCCGCUCUCUUUCCGACAAAAGUCACAAAUCAAAUUUCUCUUUCCAUUCUGCUCAGUGCGUUCUGUUACAUGUCUCCAAGCUAUGUCAUCUUUUUGAUGUACUGAACGUUGAACAAAAGAAUAAUACAUUAAUAUUGUUAUAUCAAAUCUUGCGGUUAAAGAGAAUCAGUGAAUCAAACGAUAUUUACUUUUUCUUACAAUUGUGCAGUCCCAAAAUCUUAUAACCAUGGAAAAUUCAGAUGAUGAGAGGAUGGUGUACGAGAGACAAAGAGAAGAUGUUUGGGGUUUUUUUUGGAGAAAUUAUUAAAAAAAGAACGGCUAUUAAGUAUUAUCAAGGAUUAGCCUAAUAUAAAACCCUAAUUAAAAUUUAAAAUGUACUAGAACCGGAUUUUAGUGUCGACCCGGGUUACUGGUUUUGCCGGUUCUGAACCGAUUUUUCUGGUUUUUAUCUAAUCCGGGUUUUGAACCGAACCGGACUCGGCUUACUUAACGAGUCACGGUCGAACCGGUCCGACCGGCCGGUCCGGUCCGGUUUUCAAAACCUUGGUAUUUUGUAUUUUGUCUAGUCGUAUUGUGUGCUCAUUCUACUUUAAAAAAAAAAAAAUUUAAGAACUCAACGAGGUUCUACCAUUGGAUUAGAAAAAAUUAAAUUAGAUUAAUAAAAGUUCUAAACCUUUCAAAUCACUAUAUUUAUUACUAAUUUAUUGGUUAGAACCCAUAAGGGGGUUCUUAUUGAUGGACAUGUUCUAAGACUUUAUCAUAGCAGCACUCUCCACGCCGUCUAUACGCCCACCAACCAGGCCUUGAGCAACACGUCCCUCCUCUAGGGAUGUCAAGUUGGGCGGCCCACACCCAAAUGGGUGUGUACAGUUGGGCCAUUUAACACCCAUACCCAAAAACACUCACACCCAUUUAAUUCCCAUACCCAAAAACACCCACACCCAAGUUAGCCCAUACCCAUUGGAAAUAACCCAAGACCACCCAUUAUUAUUCUUUUUAAAAAUUAGCUCAAUUUUGUUCAUAAUCAAUUAUUGUAAACUCAAUUUACAAACUUAUAUACUUAUAGAAAUUAAAAAUUA